UGAAGAGUUUGAUCAUGGCUCAGAUUGAACGCUGGCGGCAGGCCUAACACAUGCAAGUCGAACGGUAACAGGAAGCAGCUUGCUGCUUUGCUGACGAGUGGCGGACGGGUGAGUAAUGUCUGGGAAACUGCCUGAUGGAGGGGGAUAACUACUGGAAACGGUGGCUAAUACCGCAUAACGUCGCAAGACCAAAGAGGGGGACCUUCGGGCCUCUUGCCAUCAGAUGUGCCCAGAUGGGAUUAGCUUGUUGGUGAGGUAACGGCUCACCAAGGCGACGAUCCCUAGCUGGUCUGAGAGGAUGACCAGCCACACUGGAACUGAGACACGGUCCAGACUCCUACGGGAGGCAGCAGUGGGGAAUAUUGCACAAUGGGCGCAAGCCUGAUGCAGCCAUGCCGCGUGUAUGAAGAAGGCCUUCGGGUUGUAAAGUACUUUCAGCGGGGAGGAAGGUGUUGUGGUUAAUAACCGCAGCAAUUGACGUUACCCGCAGAAGAAGCACCGGCUAACUCCGUGCCAGCAGCCGCGGUAAUACGGAGGGUGCAAGCGUUAAUCGGAAUUACUGGGCGUAAAGCGCACGCAGGCGGUCUGUCAAGUCGGAUGUGAAAUCCCCGGGCUCAACCUGGGAACUGCAUUCGAAACUGGCAGGCUUGAGUCUUGUAGAGGGGGGUAGAAUUCCAGGUGUAGCGGUGAAAUG
rnacentral:rRNA from 1 species